rnacentral:misc_RNA from 1 species
GAUGAAGAACGUAGUGAAAUGCGAUAAGUAAUGUGAAUUGCAGAAUUCAGUGAAUCAUCGAAUCUUUGAACGCACAUUGCGCCCGCCAGUAUUCUGGCGGGCAUGCCUGUUCGAGCGUCAUUUCAACCCUCAGGCCCCCAGUGCCUGGUGUUGGGGAUCGGCCCAGCCUUCCUGUAAGGCCGCCGGCCCCGAAAAUCUAGUGGCGGUCUCGCUGUAGUCCUCCUCUGCGUAGUAGCACAACCUCGCAGUUGGAACGCGGCGGUGGCCAUGCCGUUAAACACCCCACUUCUGAAAGUUGACCUCGGAUCAGGUAGGAAUACCCGCUGAACUUAAGCAUAUCAAUAAGCGGAGGA